GGAGAGGCCGUACAUAAACCUCCCUCAGUCAGACUGUACAGUGACUGUACUGCUACAGCUGGGACCUACUGCAGGUGCUGAGGGGAGGAGAGGAUCCAGUAUAACGACACAGGGUGUAGUAGAGCUGAACAACAUGAGAGUCAAACUAGAGCUAGAAGACCAUUACUGAUCACUAAAUGUUUCUCCUCACCAUUAACUACAUGUUGACUCUGUUGAGUAAUUCAAGGAAAACCAUCAACCAAUCUGAAUAGAGAUAUUGUGCAAUGAUCAAAACCCCUAAAGAUGACUUGUGUUUUGAAUAGCAAAAUGAUUCAAACACAUACAAUAAAGCCCCUAAACAUUACCCAUACAUCCUCCCUCACACCACUGUGGUAGUUCCAGAGAGCAGCAGGUGAAGCAGGAGACUGGAGAUGUCAGAGCUCUGGAGAUCUCCCUUUCAGAUCAAUCAGUCAGCAGCACUACAGUCCACACAGACUGCAGUUACUGAGCCUGACCACUCGGGAGAGAAUGAGAGCAGAUACUGUCUGAUCUAAUAACACAUUAAUAACAAUAUGCUCCAUUUGUAGAUGUCUACAAUCAAUACAUCAGUCCCCAUUCAGCAGGUACUGUAUAUCAGAAACCCUGUCAGUGAUUACAUAGCUAUCAUGUUUCUACAUCACAUCACACAACAUUUAUUAAUAAAAUCUGGAAGACUAUUUAAGUGAAAAAGCCAGAGGAGGUGUUGUAUAUGGCCAAUAUACCAUGGUUAAAGGCUGUUCUUAAGCACGACUCAACGCGGAGUGUCUGGACACAGACCUUAGCCUGGCAUAUUUGCCAUAUAUCACAAACCCCUGAGGUGCUUUAUUUAUGUUAUAAAAUGGUUACCAAAAUAAUUAGAGCAGUAAAAAUAAAAGUUGUUUUCAUACCCAUGGUAUACGGUCUCAUAGACCACGGCUGCCAGCCAAUCAUCGCUGAGCGCUCGAACACCCCAGUUUAUAAUUACAUAUAAGACACUUUGAUUUGAGAUAACAUAACAUGAUUAUAACCCACUUAAACAAUCUAAGGUUCUGUCAAGUUAUAACCUCUCUCCUGCCACACCCGGCUAGAACCUUCCAGAACCUUCCCAGCCUAUGAUUGAGCCCAGAUGAGGCUUGUUUACCAAUCAAGGCCAUGACUGGCUGGACAAUGAGCCUCAACCAUUAAAAUGCUGCUGUUCACACAGAACCCUUCAACUACAGUAUCCAUGUGGCAUCAAAAAGUAUAUUUGCAUAGUAAGGACACUUUGCAUAGACAGCACAUGCUUCAGCGCUCUAAGAGUGUUUAUAGCCCUGUGUGUUUUACAUUUCAUGUCUGAGAACUGUCCUUGAUGAUAACAGAACCCACAACAACCAUGACUUUUAACACCUUCUUCAUCUGGAUAUUUGCCCUGUGUCUCCAAGAGACCAGAGGGCAGUACACUGUGUCUCAGACUCCUGCAGUGGAAACUGUUUCAGUGGGUCACUCAGUCAGUCUCAGCUGUAAGACCAGCAGUGCUGUAUACAGUGACUUCUUUGGACAGAGGUUGGCCUGGUACCAACAGAAACCUGGAGGAGCUCCUAAACUCCUAAUAUACUUAGCUAAAACCCUUCAGUCUGGGACUCCAUCUAGAUUCAGUGGUAGUGGAUCUGGGAGUGACUUCACUCUGACCAUCAGUGGAGUCCAGGCUGAAGAUGCAGGAGAUUACUACUGUCAGAGUUUACACUACCCCAACAGUGUCUGGGUGUUCACACAGUGA